AGACGCGUGGCCACAGCCGGCCGGUCAGUGUUCGCAGGCUCCGACCCGGCGGCCAACACCAGUCAGACAAGGGCAGCAUGUGUGAAGACUGCGGGCCAGACCCGUCACCAACCUCUGAGGAAAUGACAGACUCAAUGGCUGGGCACCUGCCAUCGGAGGAUUCUGAUUGUGGGAUGGAGAUGCUGACAGACAGUCAAGGUGACGUGAUCCGGCCCCUGUGGAAGCAGGUGGAGCUGCUCUUCAACACAAGAUACGGUCAGACAAGGGCGGCAUGUCUGAAGACUGUGGGCCAGGAACCUCCGGGGAGCUGGGUUGGCUGAAGCCAAUCAAAAUUGAGCCAGAGGAUCUGGACAUCAUUGCGGUCACUGUCCCAAGUAAGCGACGGACAUCUGACCACCCCCUGCAGAAAUGAGGACCGUAACAUAAGCCUCCUGAGGGUCUGCCCUGGUGAAGAAGAGGCCUCCAGGCCACUGUUUCUCUCCAUGGAUUCUGAGGCCCACCUGGGUAUUGUGAAUUCUUUCUCUGGCCACAUCUGCCCCCUGCAUUGUGAACCAGUGUUCUUAGCUCUGACGUUCCAGAAGAUCCCCUCAAACAUCACCUCCCUGGCUUGGCUUCCCUGGGAUUUGUGAGGCUGGAGAGAAGAAAAAGGCAUAAGCCUGAGAGGCUCCAAGUUGGACCCUACCCCCUGCCAAGCCUCAUUUUCCACAUCUUCAGAGGAGAGGGUAGAUUUGGGCACUGGAGCCUCAGUAUGGGGUGACUGUCAGAAGCCAAGAGGGUGCCGGACGCAGUGGCUCAUACUUGUAAUCCCGGCAUUUUGGGUGGCUGACAUGGGAGGAUUGCUUGAGGCCAGGAGUUCAAGACCAGACUGGGCAACAUAAAAAGACCCCCCAUCUCUACAAAAAAUACAAAACAUUAGCCAAAUGUGGUGGUGUGUGACUGUCAGUGCAGCUUCUCAGGAGGCUGAGGCAGGAGAAUCACUUGAGCCCAAGAGUUGGAGGCUGCAGUGAGCUGUGAUCACACCACUGCACUGCAGCCUGGGCAACCAGAGGAAGACCCUGUCUCAAAAAAAAGAAAUGGCCAGGUGCAGUGGCUCACGCCUAUAAUCCCAGCACUUUCGGAGGCUGAGGCGGGCGGAUCACCUGAGGUCAAGAGUUCGAGACCAGCCUGGCCAACAUGGUGAAACCCCAUCUCUACUAAAAAUACAAAAAUUAGCCAGGUAUGAUGGCUCAUGCCUGUAAUCCCAGCUACUCAGGAGGCUGAGGCAGGAGAAUCGCUUGAACCUGGGAGGCGGAGGUUACAGUGAACCGAGGUGGCACCACUGCACUCCAGCCUGGGCGACAGAGUGAGACUCCAUCUCGAACAAAAAUAAAAAAAGAGAAAGAAAA
ensembl:lncRNA GTF2IRD1P1 GTF2I repeat domain containing 1 pseudogene 1